CUUUAUUGGAGAGUUUGAUCCUGGCUCAGGACGAACGCUGGCGGCAUGCCUAAUACAUGCAAGUCGAGCGGACUUGAAGAGAAGCUUGCUUCUCGGAUAGUUAGCGGCGGACGGGUGAGUAACACGUAGGCAACCUGCCCUCAAG
rnacentral:rRNA from 1 species